rnacentral:rRNA from 1 species
UACGUAGGGACCGAGCGUUGUCCGGAAUCAUUGGGCGUAAAGAGCGUGUAGGCGGCUAUUUAAGUCCUGCGUGAAAUCCUGCGGCUCAACCGCAGACGGUCGUGGGAAACUGGAUGGCUAGAGUGCGGGAGAGGAGAGUGGAAUUCCCGGUGUAGCGGUGAAAUGCGCAGAUAUCGGGAAGAACACCCGUGGCGAAGGCGGCUCUCUGGAACGCAACUGACGCUGAGACGCGCAAGCGUGGGGAGCAAACAGG